rnacentral:rRNA from 1 species
CCUACGUGAGACAGCAGUCGAGCAUCAUUCACAAUGGGGGAAACACUGAUGGUGCGACGCCGCGUGGGGGAAUGAAGGUCUUCGGAUUGUAAACCCCUGUCAUGUGGGAGCAAAUUAAAAAGAUAGACCACAAGAGGAAGAGACGGCUAACUCUGUGCCAGCUGCCGCGGUACUACAGAGGUCUCAAGCGUUGUUCGGAAUAACUGGGCGUAACGGGUGCGUAGGCUGUUUGGGAAGUCGUGUGUGAAUGUGGCGGGCUCAACCCGCGGACGGCACAUGAAACGGCGCGGCUAGAGUAAGGGAGAGGGAAGCGGAAUUCGCGGUGUAGCGGGGAAAUGCGUAGAUAUCGAGAGGAACACGCGUGGCGAAGGCGGGUUCCUGGACAUUAACUGACGCGGAGGCACGAAGGCCAGGGGAGCGAAAAGGAUUAGAUACCCUAGUAGGG